CGUAAUGAUGGCCAGGCUGUCUCCACCCGAGACUCAGUGAAAUUGAACUCGCUGUGAAGAUGCAGUGUACCCGCGGCAAGACGGAAAGACCCCGUGAACCUUUACUAUAGCUUGACACUGAACAUUGAGCCUUGAUGUGUAGGAUAGGUGGGAGGCUUUGAAGUGUGGACGCCAGUCUGCAUGGAGCCGACCUUGAAAUACCACCCUUUAAUGUUUGAUGUUCUAACGUGGACCCGUUACCCGGGUUGCGGACAGUGUCUGGUGGGUAGUUUGACUGGGGCGGUCUCCUCCUAAAGAGUAACGGAGGAGCACGAAGGUUGGCUAAUCCUGGUCGGACAUCAGGAGGUUAGUGCAAUGGCAUAAGCCAGCUUGACUGCGAGCGUGACGGCGCGAGCAGGUGCGAAAGCAGGUCAUAGUGAUCCGGUGGUUCUGAAUGGAAGGGCCAUCGCUCAACGGAUAAAAGGUACUCCGGGGAUAACAGGCUGAUACCGCCCAAGAGUUCAUAUCGACGGCGGUGUUUGGCACCUCGAUGUCGGCUCAUCACAUCCUGGGGCUGAAGUAGGUCCCAAGGGUAUGGCUGUUCGCCAUUUAAAGUGGUACGCGAGCUGGGUUUAGAACGUCGUGAGACAGUUCGGUCCCUAUCUGCCGUGGGCGCUGGAGAACUGAGGGGGGCUGCUCCUAGUACGAGAGGACCGGAGUGGACGCAUCACUGGUGUUCGGGUUGUCAUGCCAAUGGCACUGCCCGGUAGCUAAAUGCGGAAGAGAUAAGUGCUGAAAGCAUCUAAGCACGAAACUUGCCCCGAGAUGAGUUCUCCCUGAGACUUUAGGUCUCCUGAAGGAACGUUGAAGACGACGACGUUGAUAGGCCGGGUGUGUAAGCGCAGCGAUGCGUUGAGCUAACCGGUACUAAUGAACCGUGAGGCUUAACCUUACAACGCCG
rnacentral:rRNA from 1 species